AUUGAACGCUGGCGGCAGGCUUAACACAUGCAAGUCGAACGAGUGGCGGACGGGUGAGUAAUGCCUGGGAAUCUAGCUGAUGGAGGGGGAUAACUACGGGAAAAGGUAGCUAAUACCGCGUACCAUAGGAUGAGCCCAAGUGGGAGUAGGUAGGUGGUGAGGUAAAGGCUAACCAAGCCGACGACCCCUAGCUGGUCUGCGAGGAUGACCAGCCACAAUGGAACUGAGACACGGUCCAGACGCCGCCGGGAGGCAGCAGUGGGAAAUAUUGCGCAAUGGUGGCAAGCUGACGCAGCCAUGCCGCGUGAAUGAAUGAGGCCUUCGGGUUGUAAAGUACUUUCGGUUGGGAGGCGUUAACUACAGAAGAAGCACCGGCUAACUCCGUGCCAGCAGCCGCGGUAAUUC
rnacentral:rRNA from 1 species